rnacentral:rRNA from 1 species
CCUACGGGAGGCAGCAGUGGGGAAUAUUGGGCAAUGGAGGAAACUCUGACCCAGCAAUGCCGCGUGAAUGAAGAAGGUCUUCGGAUUGUAAAGUUCUUUUGUUAGGGAAGUAUAAUAUGACGGUACCUGAAGAAUAAGCUUCGGCUAACUACGUGCCAGGAGGCGCGGGAAUACGUAGGGAGCAAGCGUUGUUCGGAAUGACUGGGUGUCAAGGGUGCGUAGGUGGUUAUAGAAGUUAGAUGGGGAAUUCCCGAGGCUUAACUGGGGUGCUGCUGCUGAAACUGUAAGUCUUGAGUGCAGUAGAGGUUAGUGGAAUUCGUAGUGUAGCGGUGGAAUGCGUAGAUAUUAGGAGGAACACCGAAGGCGAAGGCAGCUAACUAGACUGCAACUGACGCUGAGGCACGAAAGUGUGGGGAGCAAACAGGAUUAGAUACCCGGGUAGUC